ACGGAAGGCAGCAGUGGGGAAUAUUGCACAAUGGGGGAAACCCUGAUGCAGCGAUGCCGCGUGGAGGAAGAAGGUUUUCGGAUUGUAAACUCCUGUCUUAAAGGACGAUAAUGACGGUACCUAAGGAGGAAGCCACGGCUAACUACGUGCCAGCAGCCGCGGUAAUACGUAGGUGGCAAGCGUUAUCCGGAUUUACUGGGCGUAAAGGGAGCGUAGGCGGAUACUUAAGUGGGAUGUGAAAUACCCGAGCUUAACUUGGGUGCUGCAUUCCAAACUGGGUAUCUAGAGUGCAGGAGAGGAGAAUGGAAUUCCUAGUGUAGCGGUGAAAUGCGUAGAGAUUAGGAAGAACACCAGUGGCGAAGGCGAUUCUCUGGACUGUAACUGACGCUGAGGCUCGAAAGCGUGGGGAGCAAACAGGAUUAGAUACCCUGGUA
rnacentral:rRNA from 1 species